ensembl:miRNA
GGCCUGCCUGACACUCUUUCCCUGUUGCACUACUGUGGGCUGCUGGAAGCAGUGCAAUGAUGAAAGGGCAUCGGUCAGGCC